AAAGCACCGGCGGAGAAGAAGCCACGAGCAGAGAAGAAGCUGCCGAAGGAUGGCGCAAGCGAUAAGAAGAAGAAGAAGGCAAAGAAGAGCGUGGAGACAUACAAGAUUUACAUAUUCAAGGUCUUGAAGCAAGUUCACCCUGAUAUUGGGAUCUCCAGCAAAGCCAUGGGGAUUAUGAACAGUUUUAUCAAUGACAUUUUUGAGAAGCUUGCACAAGAGGCUUCCAGGCUCGCUAGGUACAACAAGAAGCCUACAAUCACUUCUCGGGAGAUUCAGACUGCUGUUAGGCUUGUCCUCCCUGGAGAGCUCGCCAAGCACGCCGUUUCUGAAGGGACUAAGGCUGUUACUAAGUUCACUAGCUCUUAGGGUUAGGAUUAGAGUUAUUGUGGCACAUCUUCCUUAGGGUUUUUCGAUGUAAAGAGUUGGAUUAUUACCAUGAAUGAGGUUCUAAUUGUAGUUUCCUGCAUUUUAAUCAGGAAUUCCAUUGAUUCNAAAUGCAGGAAACUACAAUUAGAACCUCAUUCAUGGUAAUAAUCCAACUCUUUACAUCGAAAAACCCUAAGGAAGAUGUGCCACAAUAACUCUAAUCCUAACCCUAAGAGCUAGUGAACUUAGUAACAGCCUUAGUCCC
rnacentral:misc_RNA from 1 species